rnacentral:rRNA from 1 species
GACGUAGGGCGCAAGCGUUGUCCGGAUUUAUUGGGCGUAAAGAGCUCGUAGGCGGUUCGUCGCGUCGGCUGUGAAAACCCGGAGCUCAACUCCGGGCCUGCAGUCGAUACGGGCGGACUUGAGUGUUGCAGGGGAGACUGGAAUUCCUGGUGUAGCGGUGAAAUGCGCAGAUAUCAGGAAGAACACCCGUGGCUAAGGCGGCUCUCUAGUACGGUACUGACGCUGAGACGCGAAAGCGUGGGGAGCAAACAGG